rnacentral:rRNA from 1 species
AACUGCCUGAUGGAGGGGGAUAACUACUGGAAACGGUAGCUAAUACCGCAUAACGUCGCAAGACCAAAGUGGGGGACCUUCGGGCCUCAUGCCAUCAGAUGUGCCCAGAUGGGAUUAGCUAGUAGGUGGGGUAACGGCUCACCUAGGCGACGAUCCCUAGCUGGUCUGAGAGGAUGAUCAGCCACACUGGAACUGAGACACGGUCCAGACUCCUACGGGAGGCAGCAGUGGGGAAUAUUGCACAAUGGGCGCAAGCCUGAUGCAGCCAUGCCGCGUGUAUGAAGAAGGCCUUCGGGUUGUAAAGUACUUUCAGCGGGGAGGAAGGCG